CAUCAUCUGGAGGACUUGUCUUUAAGAAAAAGCUGAAGCUUGGGGGGGGGGAAGGAGUAAGGAGGGUUGGUUGGAAAGCAAGCAUUCUUCCCCAGUUCCUGCCCCACCCUCAUAAAGUGUUCUGGGCCAGUUAGUUUCUCUCAGCCUCCCUCAAAGGGUUGUUGUGACUAUAAAAAGAUUAUCUGUACUGGUAUCUUCCCAUGAGGACUGUACUCCUGCACUAUAUACUGUGGUGAUUCACAUUUAAUUUAAAAUACUGUAUUUCAGUUUUGAAAAGGAUUGUGGUUAUCAUAUGCUUAAAAUAGGAUUCUCUGUGUUGCUAUUUUUUCAUAUUGCUGGUCACCUAUGCCUCAAAUGCGUGGCCUGUACAACUAUUCUGACUCUCGUUUAACUUGAAAAGCUUUAAUAAACCAAAUUACACUUGGGACAGGCAGAAAUUUGUUCUUGCUUAAGGAUAUAGGGAGGAAUUCGCAAAAGUUACAAGAUAAGACAACUUUUUGCAGCAAUUUUGUGCACUUCAGAGGGAUGCUGCAGGGCUUAAUUUACUUAAUGUUUGAGUGAAUGAUUCAUCAAGCCCUUCGAGGGUGAGGUGCUACAGAAAGGCUUUUCUAAAAAAUCGCUCUCGACGCACGAAAUGCGAAGGAAUUGCGAAGGCUUCGUCUCUCUCAGAAUCGAACUGAGCAUGCAAGAAUUUUCUGUACUGGAUUUGAGAGAGCCGGACCUCGAAUUGGGUGGGGCUAGGAAGGAAGGGGUAUCACCUUUCGGCGAUCUAUACUGUAUAUAAGACCAUCGCUGCUGCCAAGAUCAGCCCAGACAAGGACUCGAGCUAUGGCUGCCUCCGCCUCUCGUCUCUAAGCAUGCAUCAAGAGCGGCCCCGGAGCCGGGCGGGGGAGGAUCAGUGUCCGGCCAGUGAGUCCGCCCGCCAGCUCCUACGGCCACUCCAGGAUCCCGCCUCCCCACCUCCGCCCAGCCCCACUCUCCCUCCCCCUCCAGAAUCCGCAGGUUGCCGGCCACAGAAGAAGCAGAACCCUUCGCUCUCCCACCAAACGCGGGCACCCACCACCACCAGAUACAAAGCGGGUAGACUUUACCUUCAGGCAGAGGGUCCCCGGGAGAAGCCAUUGGGAGGGGUGGGGAGGUCGGGAGAAGCGAAGGUAAACUUGAGGGAUUUGGCGCGCCUGAGGCUGCACUCGUGUGCCCCUGCGAUCGGGCAGCCCCCUCGCCCCCCAAGCCAGGUCGCCGUUGCACCCUCCGGCGGUGCUUCCUUUUCCACUUCCUGGUUUGGUACGGAUCGAAGCCCCUGUUGGCUCGGGCGCUCGCUCUCCCUCCUGUACCGUGAAGAGUCUCGGGGAAGGGAGCGGAAGCUGCAGGUACCAGUCCAAGCAGGGAUCCAUUGAAACUGGCUUCUGUGGAAUCAGAGGGAAAGCUGAGAAAGAUGAAUCCAGAAUGGUCCAAAUAGGAAAUAAGUUCAGGAGCAAAGAGGACAAGAACAGAACACUGAACACAGAACAAGAGGCUGUUGGGAGGUUGCUCCCAUCCAAGCUUAAGAACCCAGAAGCCAAAGAUCAGCUUGUCUCCAGACUGCCAAAGGGCCAACUGUUGCUGGGAGCCUGCUUCCUCCUCCCUUCCAGAAAUAACUCUGUUGCAAAGAUCAGCCAGUUGCCCUGUAGCUUCAGGGGCAGGAAGAAGGAUGUUCUGGCCAUCGUCACUAGUUUGUUCUGGCUGGGGCACAACCACAUCCUGCAACAUUUUACAAAUUAAAAUGUUCUUAUGGCUUCCCUCUUCAACAAGCAGGAUAAUUGUCUGGGUGUCCAGCCUACCCCAAUAUCAGAAAUUACUAAAUGCUCUUAUUUGCCUGCUAUAUGCUUUGUUUUUUAUUCUACAAUAGUCAAUUCUCUGUUGGGUAACAAUAACACAAUUUUUUAAUGUUUAAUCUCAAAAUGGAUCCACUUGUAUGUAUAAUAGCAUACUUACAACUCAAAUAUUCAGCAGUAUUUAUAUUUGAAUAGCCAGUUAUGUAACAGAUGUCUCUUUGUAACAGAACUUUAGCCUAAAUAUUAUCACACAUCAUUCAUCUACAAAGCCCAGGAUCACUUGUUACAACUCUUGCAAUUUUAGCUUUAUCAGCAACAUCCAGGAGACAUAUGCUGUGAUUCAAUCAGUAUCAUUUCAAAUAUCCCAUCAAGAGAAAGAUGUAUAUUAUUCAGAUCAGUACUAAAUGGAGUUUUAGACCCUUUGGAAACCAACUGUGAAUUGUUUGCAAGUCACUUCGAGAGUGACGUUGCUAGCCUCCAUAGCAAUCUUGACGCCCCAUCCACAUUUACUGUAGUCCCAGCGAGGUGUCCAGUGCAACAUCUGCUGUAACUUUUGGGGAUCAGUUUCCAUUGAUGCAGCCUGAUGAUAUGGACAAGGUGCUUACGAUGAUGUGGCCAACAAUGUGUGCUCUCGACCAGUGAUGUAGUUGUCUGGAGUCUUGGGGGGCUCUUAGACCCCUUACUUUUUUGGGAACAGGGUCCCAAUGUCUCCAGCAUCCUACAAGCCAAUCAGCAUGGAAGAGGACUGUAUAGGCCACUGAGAAGAGUCUUCUAAUGUGCUUCCUUGUCCUUUCCUGAGUGGUGCCAAUCAGAGUGAAAGGAGAUGAGUCUGCUACUGAGAACAUCUGUUGUGAGAGAAGGUGAAAACAAGCAUCUCAUUUUCAACCCAGCAGCAAAAAAAGGAAAAAGAAAAAGCGUGUGUGUGGCUGUAACUAUCAUGAAGGGACCCUGCACUUCUGAAUUUGUCACUAUUAUUGCGCUCGACCCUUGCUCUUCUUAGCUUAUUAAAGCUUGCAGAGGAAGUAUGGCCAAAUGGAUCCAGAGUGUGGUGACUGUGUCUUUGUGGGAGGGAGUGGUCCCAACCGCUUGAAAGAGGCAGUGAUCUGAAAAAGCCCACUCUGGUCCCACUGGUUUGUGAAAACUACCAGCUGGUCACAGAUACCCCCUUUUUAGAGAAGGCGAUCGAAUUGUGACACAGCAAUUACAAGUACUCUUGGAUGAAACAGACUAUCUUAACCUAUUCCAAUCUGGGUUCAGGCCUGGUUAUGGGACUGAAUCAGCCUUAGUCGCCCUGAUGGAUGACCUUUAUUGGGAGGAGAGGAGGAAUGUGACCCUGUUACUCUUGAUCUCUCAGCAGCUUUUAAUCCAGUUGACCAUAGUAUCCUUCUGAGCUGACUUGGUGAGAUGGGAGGUGGUUCCAAUCUUAUCUCCAGGGUCAGUUUCAGAGAAUAGCAUUGGGUGAUUGUCUUUUGGCCCCUGUUGGCAGUUGCACUGUGGGGUGCUGCAGGGUACUAACUUGUCCCCAGUGCUGUUUAAUAUGUAUAUGAAGCCAUUGAGAGCGGUCAUUAGGUGAUUUGGGGUGGUAUGUCAGCAGUAUGCUGAUACCCAGCUCUAUUUCUUGGUAACAUCUGAAUUGAAAGAGGCUGUGCAAGCUCUGGACUGGUGCUUGGACUUGGUAGUGGGCUGGAUGAGGGCCAGUAAACGGAGUCUGAAUCCUAGCAAGACGGAGGCCCUAUGAGCAGGUGGUUCCCGAGUCUGGAUAAUUGCUCAAUUGCCUGCUUAUACUCCCUCUGAAAGUACAGCUUGUUAGUCUGAGGGUGCUCCUGGAUCCAUCUUUGUCGCUAGAGGCCCAGGUAACCUCAGUGGCUAGGAAUGCCUUUUACCAGCUUUGGCUGGUAAGACAGCUGCAGCCAUUUCUGGAACAGGAUAGUCUGACCAUUGUUGGCCAUGCUCUGGUAACCUCCAGGCUGCAUUACUGUAAUGCACUCUAUGUGGGGCUGCCCUUGAGGUUAGUCCAACAGCUGCAGCUGGUGCAAAAUGCAGUGGCACAACUGCUUACUGGGGCAGAAUAUCACCAACUUGUUAUCCACUGCUGAAAGAAUUGCACUGGCUGCCCAAUAGCUAUCAGGCUAGAUAAAAGGUGCUGUUUUUGGUAUAUAAAGUCUUAUACAGCUUGGGACUAGGAUACCUGAAAGAUCGUUUUACCCCUUAUAUACCUAGUCAAACACUGUGCUCUGCAAGUGAGGGCCUCCUGCAGGUACCAUCUCAUCAGGAAGUCUGUUCCGCUCAACAUAGGAAAUUGAUCUUUGGUGUUGUGGCACCUACCCUUGGAAUGCACUCCCCUUAAAUACAGUAAUAGACAGGUGCCAAUUGAAGACCUUCCUCUUUCAACAAGCCUUUUAAGUAGAGACCUUAUUCCAGUCUGCAUCUGUGUUUGUAUUGUUUUUGGAUUUAAAAAAAAAAGUGUUUUAAAGAUUUUUUAAAAGAUGUUAUAAAGAUGAUUUUAGUGUUUUUGUUUGUUCUGGGCUCUUUCUAGGAAGAAGGGUGGAAUAAUAAUAAUAAUAAUAAUAAUAAUU